CAGCCGCCGCGGUAAUACAGAGGGUGCGAGCGUUAAUCGGAUUUACUGGGCGUAAAGCGUGCGUAGGCGGCUUCUUAAGUCGGAUGUGAAAUCCCUGAGCUUAACUUAGUAAUUGCAUUCGAUACUGGGAAGCUAGAGUAUGGGAGAGGAUGGUAGAAUUCCAGGUGUAGCGGUGAAAUGCGUAGAGAUCUGGAGGAAUACCGAUGGCGAAGGCAGCCAUCUGGCCUAAUACUGACGCUGAGGUACGAAAGCAUGGGGAGCAAACAGGAUUAGAGACCCCAGUAGUCCCUGUCUCUUAUAC
rnacentral:rRNA from 1 species